AAUGAAGGGCAAAAGGUCGGUUUAUUUGCCAACCCGGUCAGAUUCGGAAGAAAGCAGCCGUAACAAAUAUUGCUGAGGUUUUUGCCCCUUCGCCUUU
rnacentral:SRP_RNA from 1 species